rnacentral:lncRNA from 1 species
CCGGCGGUGGCUGCCAUGGAGCCAUGGAGGCGCCGGCUCCAGCGAGCUCCGGUGAAGGCUGCGGCCGGAGAAUUUCCAGGGAAGGGAGGUGAAGGUUGCUGCAGCCUCAGCCGAGGCCAGGGCGGCCGGGAGCAGCGCGCGACGUGCGCCGGUGUAGGAUGAACAGAGGAGCGACGAGCGGCGGCGACACCCGUGGGUUCUGGCGGCGAUUUGGCUCGGUAAAGUGAGGGGAAAGUAACACGAGCAUGGCGAAGGUGCUGGAUACCUUGAUUUGGAAGAAGAGACAACGAGGUCGACGAAUUUCUCAAGAACGGCGCCGGUGGACGCACUGUGACCGACGGCGCGUCCUCGCGCCGGUGGCGACGAACCUCGCGAUGAUGGUACUUGCUGGUUCAGGGAGAGGAUGAGGGGAUGCAAGACUUUGCUUUCUCUAUGGUUGGCGGCUGGAUAAGAUGGACGGAGAGGAAGUAGAGGCGGCAGGGGUGAGAGGCGGUGGCAAGAUGAUGACGAUGAGCUCGGCUUGGAGUCGGUUCGAGAUGGGGCUGCGUAUCCGACGGCGACGCGUGGGCACUGGCGUGGCGAGCGGCACCGAAGGCAGCAGCUGCGUGGCGAGGUCGGCAAAAUGGCGACGGCGUCGUCGCCCCCGGGAGGAAGUGAGAGAAACAGAGAGAU